CGCGUAGGCGGCUUCGUAUGUCGGGUGUGAAAUCCCACCUCUUAAAGGUGGAAUUGCAUUCGAAACUACGGGGCUGGAGUGCCGGAGAGGAUGGUGGAAUUCCUGGUGUAGAGGUGAAAUUCGUAGAUAUCAGGAGGAACACCGGUGGCGAAGGCGGCCAUCUGGACGGUAACUGACGCUGAGGCGCGAAAGCGUGGGGAUCAAACA
rnacentral:rRNA from 1 species